UGCCAGCAGCCGCGGUAAGACGAACCGUCCAAACGUUAUUCGGUAUCACUGGGCUUAAAGGGUGCGUAGGCGGCUUAGUAAGUUGGGUGUGAAAGACCUCGGCUCAACCGAGGAAUUGCGCCCAAAACUACUAAGCUUGAGGAAGGCAGAGGUAAGCGGAACUUGCGGUGGAGCGGUGAAAUGCAUUGAUAUCGCGGGGAACACCAGUGGCGAAGGCGGCUUACUGGGCCUUUUCUGACGCUGAGGCACGAAAGCUAGGGUAGCGAACGGGAUUAGAUA
rnacentral:rRNA from 1 species